rnacentral:rRNA from 1 species
GCAAACUGCGAAUACCGGAGAAUGUUAUCACGGGAGACACACGGCGGGUGCUAACGUCCGUCGUGAAGAGGGAAACAACCCAGACCGCCAGCUAAGGUCCCAAAGUCAUGGUUAAGUGGGAAACGAUGUGGGAAGGCCCAGACAGCCAGGAUGUUGGCUUAGAAGCAGCCAUCAUUUAAAGAAAGCGUAAUAGCUCACUGGUCGAGUCGGCCUGCGCGGAAGAUGUAACGGGGCUAAACCAUGCACCGAAGCUGCGGCAGCGACACUAUGUGUUGUUGGGUAGGGGAGCGUUCUGUAAGCCUGUGAAGGUGUACUGUGAGGUAUGCUGGAGGUAUCAGAAGUGCGAAUGCUGACAUAAGUAACGAUAAAGCGGGUGAAAAGCCCGCUCGCCGGAAGACCAAGGGUUCCUGUCCAACGUUAAUCGGGGCAGGGUGAGUCGACCCCUAAGGCGAGGCCGAAAGGCGUAGUCGAUGGGAAACAGGUUAAUAUUCCUGUACUUGGUGUUACUGCGAAGGGGGGACGGAGAAGGCUAUGUUGGCCGGGCGACGGUUGUCCCGGUUUAAGCGUGUAGGCUGGUUUUCCAGGCAAAUCCGGAAAAUCAAGGCUGAGGCGUGAUGACGAGGCACUACGGUGCUGAAGCAACAAAUGCCCUGCUUCCAGGAAAAGCCUCUAAGCAUCAGGUAACAUCAAAUCGUACCCCAAACCGACACAGGUGGUCAGGUAGAGAAUACCAAGGCGCUUGAGAGAACUCGGGUGAAGGAACUAGGCAAAAUGGUGCCGUAACUUCGGGAGAAGGCACGCUGAUAUGUAGGUGAAGCGACUUGCUCGUGGAGCUGAAAUCAGUCGAAGAUACCAGCUGGCUGCAACUGUUUAUUAAAAACACAGCACUGUGCAAACACGAAAGUGGACGUAUACGGUGUGACGCCUGCCCGGUGCCGGAAGGUUAAUUGAUGGGGUUAGCGGUAACGCGAAGCUCUUGAUCGAAGCCCCGGUAAACGGCGGCCGUAACUAUAACGGUCCUAAGGUAGCGAAAUUCCUUGUCGGGUAAGUUCCGACCUGCACGAAUGGCGUAAUGAUGGCCAGGCUGUCUCCACCCGAGACUCAGUGAAAUUGAACUCGCUGUGAAGAUGCAGUGUACCCGCGGCAAGACGGAAAGACCCCGUGAACCUUUACUAUAGCUUGACACUGAACAUUGAGCCUUGAUGUGUAGGAUAGGUGGGAGGCUUUGAAGUGUGGACGCCAGUCUGCAUGGAGCCGGCCUUGAAAUACCACCCUUUAAUGUUUGAUGUUCUAACGUUGGCCCCUGAUCGGGGUUGCGGACAGUGUCUGGUGGGUAGUUUGACUGGGGCGGUCUCCUCCUAAAGAGUAACGGAGGAGCACGAAGGUUGGCUAAUCCUGGUCGGACAUCAGGAGGUUAGUGCAAUGGCAUAAGCCAGCUUGACUGCGAGCGUGACGGCGCGAGCAGGUGCGAAAGCAGGUCAUAGUGAUCCGGUGGUUCUGAAUGGAAGGGCCAUCGCUCAACGGAUAAAAGGUACUCCGGGGAUAACAGGCUGAUACCGCCCAAGAGUUCAUAUCGACGGCGGUGUUUGGCACCUCGAUGUCGGCUCAUCACAUCCUGGGGCUGAAGUAGGUCCCAAGGGUAUGGCUGUUCGCCAUUUAAAGUGGUACGCGAGCUGGGUUUAGAACGUCGUGAGACAGUUCGGUCCCUAUCUGCCGUGGGCGCUGGAGAACUGAGGGGGGCUGCUCCUAGUACGAGAGGACCGGAGUGGACGCAUCACUGGUGUUCGGGUUGUCAUGCCAAUGGCACUGCCCGGUAGCUAAAUGCGGAAGAGAUAAGUGCUGAAAGCAUCUAAGCACGAAACUUGCCCCGAGAUGAGUUCUCCCUGAGACUUAGAGUCUCCUGAAGGAACGUUGAAGACGACGACGUUGAUAGGCCGGGUGUGUAAGCGCAGCGAUGCGUUGAGCUAACCGGUACUAAUGAACCGUGAGGCUUAACCUU